rnacentral:rRNA from 1 species
CGGGGAUAAACACCUGGGAAACAGAUGCUAAUACCGGGAUAACAACAGAUGAUGCCUAUCAACUGUUUUAAAAAGUAUGGUUCUGCUAUCACUCUUGGGAUGGGACCUGCGGUGCAUUAGCUAGUUGGUAGGGUAACGGCUACCAAGGCGAUGAUGCAUAGCCGAGUUGAGAGACUGAUCGGCCACAUUGGGACUGAGACACGGCCCAAACUCCUACGGGAGGCAGCAGUAGGGAAUCUUCCACAAUGGACGAAAGUCUGAUGGAGCAACGCCGCGUGAGUGAAGAAGGUUUUCGGAUCGUAAAGCUCUGUUGUUGGUGAAGAAGGAUAGAGGUAGUAACUGGCCUUUAUUUGACGGUAAUCAACCAGAAAGUCACGGCUAACUACGUGCCAGCAGCCGCGGUAAU